rnacentral:rRNA from 1 species
AGUGGACGCUGGCGGUAGGCCUAACACAUGCCAGUCGAACGGCAGCACAGUAAGAGCUUGCUCUUACGGGUGGCGAGUGGCGGACGGGUGAGGAAUACAUCGGAAUCUACUUUUUCGUGGGGGAUAACGUAGGGAAACUUACGCUAAUACCGCAUACGACCUACGGGUGAAAGCAGGGGAUCUUCGGACCUUGCGCGAUUGAAUGAGCCGAUGUCGGAUUAGCUAGUUGGCGGGGUAAAGGCCCACCAAGGCGACGAUCCGUAGCUGGUCUGAGAGGAUGAUCAGCCACACUGGAACUGAGAAACGGUCCAGACUCCUACGGGAGGCAGCAGUGGGGAAUAUUGGACAAUGGGCGCAAGCCUGAUCCAGCCAUACCGCGUGGGUGAAGAAGGCCUUCGGGUCGUAAAGCCCUUUUGUUGGGAAAGAAAAGCAGCAGGUUAAUACCCCGCUGUUCUGACGGUACCCAAAGAAUAAGCACCGGCUAACUUCGUG